rnacentral:rRNA from 1 species
AAAUUGAAGAGUUUGAUCAUGGCUCAGAUUGAACGCUGGCGGCAGGCCUAACACAUGCAAGUCGAGCGGAAACGACAACAUUGAAUCUUCGGAGGAUUUGUUGGGCGUCGAGCGGCGGACGGGUGAGUAAUGCCUAGGAAAUUGCCUUGAUGUGGGGGAUAACCAUUGGAAACGAUGGCUAAUACCGCAUAAUGCCUACGGGCCAAAGAGGGGGACCUUCGGGCCUCUCGCGUCAAGAUAUGCCUAGGUGGGAUUAGCUAGUUGGUGAGGUAAUGGCUCACCAAGGCGACGAUCCCUAGCUGGUCUGAGAGGAUGAUCAGCCACACUGGAACUGAGACACGGUCCAGACUCCUACGGGAGGCAGCAGUGGGGAAUAUUGCACAAUGGGCGAAAGCCUGAUGCAGCCAUGCCGCGUGUAUGAAGAAGGCCUUCGGGUUGUAAAGUACUUUCAGUUGUGAGGAAGGGGGUAACGUUAAUAGCGUUAUCUCUUGACGUUAGCAACAGAAGAAGCACCGGCUAACUCCGUGCCAGCAGCCGCGGUAAUACGGAGGGUGCGAGCGUUAAUC